AACCAUUCUCACCUGCGGCUAGACCUGCGGAAGGAUCAUUACCGAGUGAGGGUUGUUUUACAGCCCGACCUCCAACCCCAUGUACACCAUUAUGUGUCUUGUUGCUUCGGUAGGCGAAAAAGAGCCUACCGAAGGAUACACAAAAAAUCAUUUGUUGGUAAAGUCUGAGUUAUGAUUAAAUAAUUAAAACUUUCAACAACGGAUCU
rnacentral:misc_RNA from 1 species